rnacentral:sRNA from 1 species
UACUAGGCCAAUACUAUUUUAAGUCCCGAUAAGCCCCGCAAUAUUUUGCCAGACAUUUUCUGCUCCAGUUUUGUUUCGUACAAACAUAUUUUUGCAACAUCAUGCCCCAAGUCUCCAGACCCCAACCCAAACCCAAACCACAAAUUACAAAGUAAAAUGCAAAGAAAUCGACAUUCACCGUCUGUAAUUUCAAGUGUUUGGCAUUGACAAUUUUUCGUUCCGAUUUUCAGGCAUAUCCAUGCCCGUCCCAUUGUUGAGGAAAUUGUGAAAACGCCAGGGAAUUGGGCAAGCAAAUUUCGUUUGUAUUUACCUCGACUUGGAGUACCUCGAAGAUGGAAAAGAUUUCGAGAGACAGUUAAUUAAACCGAAGUCAAGAUUGAGAGGGGAGGAGGGGACCCCGGCCUGAGGUGAUUGCCAAUUUUGUGGGAUGGUUUUGAUUGGCGAGACAAACAAGCGGCGACAGUGAAAGACAGAAACAAACUUCAAAUGUCGCAAUUUUGGCGGCGCCUUAAAUGUGACACGAAAAGCGACUAAACUCGGAUGCGGUAAUUAUGAUUAAUUAACAGGUCUUUAAGUAUUGUUUGGCAAAUAUUUGGAUAUUUGUAUGCCUGCCAGUACCCGUUGGAAUCACUCGAAUGACUCACUGACCAACUGGGGAAUAUCGAAAUCGCUGCACUUGUCUCUCGCUUGGCUCUUAUCUUAUCGCCGACACAAGCGAAACAUGGCCAAAAUGAAGUGGAAAACUUAUCGCCCUUCCUCUGAUAAGACCCAACAGAUAGCUGAUGGAAUGACAGACCGUAUGUACCAUAUGUACCAUACGCAUGUAUGUAGCUGUGCAACGGGAAUGAGGUAAGCAGUUGUAGAAAUGCACCGAAAUUCACUCACUUCCACGAGGUAGAUCCCAGAUUGUGUGGAGUCAAAAUUAUUAGGCCAUAAAUACUUGCGGCAAAAUGUGACGCCCACUGCGCAUGCGCACACAUCUGAGACGAUGAAAUGGGGCAGACAGGGUAUGCCUGUAUAUACGGCUGCUAGAGAUACAUUAUCUUUCUCUGGGUACGACACUGAGUGGGCUUUUGACUUUCUGUUUGGCCGAUCUCUUGUCGAGUCAACAAAGCUUACACACAGAAAAGAGAAAAGGCUAAGGAAGCUACACCGAAUGUGGCAGCGGAGAAGAAUGCUGGUGCUGCGGACUGGGGAGAAGGUGCCAUCACAAGAAGGCUUUAACAAUUAGUCACCGUUGCGCAUUGAGCGCUUACAGAGCUCACUGAAAGAAGAUGGAGAAUACAACAAGGUGAAGGAUUAGCACUCCAGUCCGCCAGUAGAGCUCUAAAUAUCUACCUGUCCAUACCUCUCGGACAAAUCCAGCAACGAUUCUGCAAUUUUUCACAUUCUAAUUGCUCGUCAUCUCAUUAACCACAAUUCUUUUGUCUCCCCAGCCCACACCUCUAAACCCCCCCUCCCUCCUCUCCCUUGCCCGAAGAGCUGCCGGCUAAGAGGUUUUUAAUUAUGCUGCCUCCGCUAA